AUGCACAUAAAUUAUGAUGCCAGUGACACAGAAGGAGAACAGAACAUACAGAGGGAGUCAGGUGUCACGUACAAACCCAGAGUGGCCUAUCUACAGAAAAGGAGGCUCAAGUCCGUCACCCGUAGCACUACAUUUCUACUGACAUUGGCAAUCAAGCCUGAUUGGUGGGACAGGAGAGAAGAGCCCCUCGUUGCCCUAACUCUGUGCCCUGACUCUGUGAUGUUCAGCUUGUGGCCCAACUGUAUCCAGGGAUCAGGGGGGCGGUAUGCACCACAGACCUGAGCCUUGGGAUGUCUUCAGGAUCGAACUGCCAUUGCUGAUUUGUGAGUAGUGUUUGCAAGUGAAUCAAACUACCGCUGCUGAUUCAUGUAAACCGAACUGCUGCUAUCCUGACAAUGAAGAUUGA
ensembl:lincRNA A930104D05Rik RIKEN cDNA A930104D05 gene